AGAGUUUGAUCCUGGCUCAGAUUGAACGCUGGCGGCAGGCCUAACACAUGCAAGUCGAGCGGAAACGAGUUAUCUGAACCUUCGGGGAACGAUAACGGCGUCGAGCGGCGGACGGGUGAGUAAUGCCUAGGAAAUUGCCCUGAUGUGGGGGAUAACCAUUGGAAACGAUGGCUAAUACCGCAUAAUGCCUACGGGCCAAAGAGGGGGACCUUCGGGCCUCUCGCGUCAGGAUAUGCCUAGGUGGGAUUAGCUAGUUGGUGAGGUAAUGGCUCACCAAGGCGACGAUCCCUAGCUGGUCUGAGAGGAUGAUCAGCCACACUGGAACUGAGACACGGUCCAGACUCCUACGGGAGGCAGCAGUGGGGAAUAUUGCACAAUGGGCGCAAGCCUGAUGCAGCCAUGCCGCGUGUGUGAAGAAGGCCUUCGGGUUGUAAAGCACUUUCAGUCGUGAGGAAGGUAGUGUAGUUAAUAGCUGCAUUAUUUGACGUUAGCGACAGAAGAAGCACCGGCUAACUCCGUGCCAGCAGCCGCGGUAAUACGGAGGGUGCGAGCGUUAAUCGGAAUUACUGGGCGUAAAGCGCAUGCAGGUGGUUUGUUAAGUCAGAUGUGAAAGCCCGGGGCUCAACCUCGGAAUAGCAUUUGAAACUGGCAGACUAGAGUACUGUAGAGGGGGGUAGAAUUUCAGGUGUAGCGGUGAAAUGCGUAGAGAUCUGAAGGAAUACCGGUGGCGAAGGCGGCCCCCUGGACAGAUACUGACACUCAGAUGUGAAAGCGUGGGGAGCAAACAGGAUUAGAUACCCUGGUAGUCCACGCCGUAAACGAUGUCUACUUGGAGGUUGUGGCCUUGAGCCGUGGCUUUCGGAGCUAACGCGUUAAGUAGACCGCCUGGGGAGUACGGUCGCAAGAUUAAAACUCAAAUGAAUUGACGGGGGCCCGCACAAGCGGUGGAGCAUGUGGUUUAAUUCGAUGCAACGCGAAGAACCUUACCUACUCUUGACAUCCAGAGAACUUUCCAGAGAUGGAUUGGUGCCUUCGGGAACUCUGAGACAGGUGCUGCAUGGCUGUCGUCAGCUCGUGUUGUGAAAUGUUGGGUUAAGUCCCGCAACGAGCGCAACCCUUAUCCUUGUUUGCCAGCGAGUAAUGUCGGGAACUCCAGGGAGACUGCCGGUGAUAAACCGGAGGAAGGUGGGGACGACGUCAAGUCAUCAUGGCCCUUACGAGUAGGGCUACACACGUGCUACAAUGGCGCAUACAGAGGGCAGCAAGCUAGCGAUAGUGAGCGAAUCCCAAAAAGUGCGUCGUAGUCCGGAUUGGAGUCUGCAACUCGACUCCAUGAAGUCGGAAUCGCUAGUAAUCGUGGAUCAGAAUGCCACGGUGAAUACGUUCCCGGGCCUUGUACACACCGCCCGUCACACCAUGGGAGUGGGCGGCAAAAGAAGUAGGUAGUUUAACCUUCGGGAGGACGCUUACCACUUUGUGGUUCAUGACUGGGGUGAAGUCGUAACAAGGUAACCGUA
rnacentral:rRNA from 1 species